GGCUCCAUAGUUUAGUGGUUAGCACAUGCGCUUUAUAUGCAGAAGGUCCUGGGUUCGCACCCCAGCUGGAGUCA
rnacentral:tRNA from 1 species